AUGAACAGUCUUACCUUCUCAUUCCUGCUGCUUACUGCCCCUGCAUAUGUCCUAUCUCAGGUUACUCUGAAAGAGUCUGGCCCUGGGAUGUUGCAGCCAUCACAGACCCUCAUUCUGACCUGCACUUUCUCUGGGACUUCACCGAGCACUUCCAGUAUGGGUUUGAGCUGGCUUCGUCAGCCCUCAGGAAAGGGUUUAGAGUGGCUGGCAAGCAUUUGGAAUAAUGAUAACUACUACAACCCAUCCUUGAGGAGCCGGCUCACAAUCUCCAAGGAGACCUCCAACAACCAGGUACUCCUUAAGUUCACCAGUAUGGAGCCUGCAGAUACUGCCACUUACUACUGUGCUUGGAGAGCACAGAGUUACAACCUUGGUUUUCAGCUGUACAAUAUUCAGGAUGGAUCUUAUUUCUGUUCUUUCCUAAUACAUAGGGGAGUUGGGGAUUUUACACAUUUCCUGCUAGCCUCUGUGGUUUCCUCCUUCCUGUGA